GGCCAGCAGCCGCGGUAAUACAGAGGGAGCAAGCGUUAUCCGGAAUAAUUGGGCGUAAAGCGUCUGUAGGUGGUUUAAAAAGUCUACUGUCAAAUCCCAGGGCUCAACCUUGGUCAGGCAGUGGAGUACUUUUAGACUUGAGUGUGGUAGAGGUAGAGGGAAUCCCUAGCGUAACAGUGAAAUGUGUAGAUUUUAGGGAGAACACCAGCGGCGAAGGCGCUCUACUGGGCCAAUACUGACACUGAGAGACGAAAGCUACGGGAGAGAAAAGGAUUAGAUACCCUUGUAUUCGUAGCCGUAAACGAUGGAAACUAAGUGCUGCCAAAAGCAGUGCUGUAGCUAACGCGUUAAGUUUCCCGCCUGGGGAGUAUGCUCGCAAGAGUGAAACUUAAAGGAAUUGGCGGGGGAC
rnacentral:rRNA from 1 species